rnacentral:rRNA from 1 species
AGUGAACGCUGGCGGUAGGCCUAACACAUGCCAGUCGAACGGCAGCACAGUAAGAGCUUGCUCUUACGGGUGGCGAGUGGCGGACGGGUGAGGAAUACAUCGGAAUCUACUUUUUCGUGGGGGAUAACGUAGGGAAACUUACGCUAAUACCGCAUACGACCUACGGGUGAAAGCAGGGGAUCUUCGGACCUUGCGCGAUUGAAUGAGCCGAUGUCGGAUUAGCUAGUUGGCGGGGUAAAGGCCCACCAAGGCGACGAUCCUUAGCUGGUCUGUGAGGAUGAUCAGCCACACUGGAACUGAGACACGGUCCAGACUCCUACGAGAGGCAGCAGUGGGGAAUAUUGGACAAUGGGCGCAAGUCUGAUCCAGCCAUACCGCGUGGGUGAAGAAGGCCUUCGGGUGGUAAAGCCCUUUUGUUGGGAAAGAAAAGCAGCAGGUUAAUACCCCGCGGUUCUGACGGUACCCAAAGAAUAAGCACCGGCUAACUACGUG